CGGACGGGUGAGUAACGCGUGAGAAUCUGCCCUCUGGUCGGGGACAACCACGGGAAACGGUGGCUAAUACCGGAUAGGCCGCAAGGUGAAAGAUUUAUUGCCAGAAGAGGAGCUCGCGUCUGAUUAGCUAGUUGGUGGGGUAAAAGCCUACCAAGGCGGCGAUCAGUAGCUGGUCUGAGAGGAUGAGCAGCCACACUGGGACUGAGACACGGCCCAGACUCCUACGGGAGGCAGCAGUGGGGAAUUUUCCGCAAUGGGCGAAAGCCUGACGGAGCAAUACCGCGUGAGGGAGGAAGGCUCUUGGGUCGUAAACCUCUUUUGUCAAGGAAGAAGAUCUGACGGUACUUGACGAAUAAGCAUCGGCUAACUCCGUGCCAGCAGCCGCGGUAAUACGGAGGAUGCAAGCGUUAUCCGGAAUUAUUGGGCGUAAAGCGUCCGCAGGUGGCGUGUCAAGUCUGCUGUUAAAGACCGGGGCUAAACUCCGGAAAGGCAGUGGAAACUGAAACGCUAGAGUGCAGGAGGGGUAGAGGGAAUUCCCGGUGUAGCGGUGAAAUGCGUAGAUAUCGGGAAGAACAUCGGUGGCGAAAGCGCUCUACCGGACUGCAACUGACACUCAGGGACGAAAGCUAGGGGAGCGAAUGGGAUUAGAUACCCCAGUAGUCCUAGCCGUAAACGAUGGAUACUAGGUGUGGCUUGUAUCGACCCGAGCCGUGCCGUAGCUAACGCGUUAAGUAUCCCGCCUGGGGAGUACGCGCGCAAGCGUGAAACUCAAAGGAAUUGACGGGGGCCCGCACAAGCGGUGGAGUAUGUGGUUUAAUUCGAUGCAACGCGAAGAACCUUACAAGGGCUUGACAUGUCGCGAAUCUUGGUGAAAGCUGAGAGCGCCUACGGGAGCGCGAACACAGGUGGUGCAUGCCUGUCGUCAGCUCGUGUCGUGAGAUGUUGGGUUAAGUCCCGCAACGAGCGCAACCCUCGUUUUUAGUUGCCAUCAUUAAGUUGGGCACUCUAGAGAGACUGCCGGUGACAAACCGGAGGAAGGUGGGGAUGACGUCAAGUCAGCAUGCCCCUUACGUUCUGGGCUACACACGUACUACAAUGGUGAGGACAAAGGGCAGCGAACCCGCGAGGGCAAGCCAAUCCCAUCAAACCUCGCCUCAGUUCAGAUUGCAGGCUGCAACUCGCCUGCAUGAAGG
rnacentral:rRNA from 1 species